AGGAGACGGGGCAACGGGGAACCCGGGCAGGUGAGGCGGCGGCACAGGGCGGGGACAGGUUGAAUUUGACCGGUUCAGCCCCAGUGUCUUCCAGGACUCCUGGCCCAGAGUGGGGAAUUUGAGCUUUUCCACCAGAGGAGGAGCUGUGCAGAGCCACUGGGAGGCGGUGUUCAAAACAUUUGAAAAGAAGACUAUGACUGGGAAAUUACUGCUGUGUGUCCGACACCGGGGCUUUGUGUGUGUUAAGGGUU